AAUAUGUGUUAUGUAUAACGAGAAAUAAUGUUUAGUUUAUAAUAUAUAAAGAGAUCAGAAUCGAUGCUUAAUUUUUAUUUACAUAGACUAGAAAACCUUGAUCACGGUUACAAUAAUAGAUAUUUUUUAUAAUUUUGUUUAAGAAUAAAAUAUUAUAAUGCAAUAAAAAUGUAGUGAAAUUCGUUAAGGAAGAGAGUAGUGGUUGCAAGAAGGGAGUAAAAGUCAAAUCGCUUUUCUUGACGCUUUUUAAAUCUCAUGCCGAAGAUAAUAGCGGAAAUAUAUGAUAUGUAUGUAUUAUAUAAAGAAUAUUUUCAAAAAACAUGAACGUCUUCUAAUAAAUCAUUUGGUGAAAGUUAAAGCAUGUUGUUUAGUCUUACAAUUGAAUACCCAAUUAAUGUAGCUGUCAAAUAAGAUAAGGUAUAAAACUGACAAAAUAAAAUGUCUGGAAAUACCUCAAAUGUUACCUCAAACAGCAUAUUUUCAAUAUAUCCGUAAUAGAUACGCGAAUGAUAGGAUUAGUGGACAAAAUAAUUGUGUCCUUUGAUUUUAAUUAUUUCAGUUAACCUUUACGGUCUUAACAAUUUAUAUUUAGUAUAUAAGUAUGAUUCCAGUUGACAGUAAUAAUUGCUACACGUUACGUUAUAGUAGUAGUCGACUGAUUAUCCAAAUGUUCUUGCUAGAGGUUUAGAUCGCCAAGUUUGUAAAUUACCUAUU